CAAUUUAGGGCCUCAUCCAAAGCCCACUGAAGUCAAUGGGAGUCUUUCUAUUGACUUCAGUGAGCUGUGGAUCAAGUACCCCAGUCUG
rnacentral:pre_miRNA from 1 species